GGCGAGCGCGCAGUCACGUAGCCACUAGGCAGCCAGUCCGCUCCGCGCCGCCUCCGGACCGCGCGGACUCCUGAAGAGAUGGUUUUCAAAGUCUGGUGGCGGAAUUGAAGCCUUCAAAAGAAGGACUAAUCAGAAGCCCGAUAUGUAAAACAGUGGAGGCUGGAAUGCAUCGAGUGGCCUGGCAAGUGUGAAGCCCUUGGGGUCCGCAGGGGACAGUUUGAAAAUCUCUGGCCUGUAGGAUAAAGGUUCCCUCAUGAGACCACAGUUAAGAUGUUGGCCAGGGCUGCAGUCACCAUGGCGGCCGGAGGAUUCCCUGCUGAGAUGGCUUAGUCACCUGACUGGCCUGUCAGUGGAUUCUCUGGGCUCUGAUCCAAGUCUUUAACCCACAUGCAACUGGAUGGCAAGAAGUAGUUUGCUCGGAAGUCUGAUUGAGUACAUCUUCCUCACCUCCUAAGAGCUCGGGUGAAGUUUCUCUGCCUAAGAUAUUUUCAUCACGGAAUAAUACUCCAUUGUAUGGACAGACCGUUUAUCCAUUCGCCUACUGAAGGACAUCUUGGUUAUUUGCAAAUUUGGGAUGUUUGUGUUAUAAACAUGCAUGUGCAGGUUUUUGUAUGGAUUUGCCUGUUAAUUUUUCAGUGCUCGCCGACACA